rnacentral:rRNA from 1 species
UGGGGAAUCUUAGACAAUGGGCGCAAGCCUGAUCUAGCCAUGCCGCGUGAGUGACGAAGGCCUUAGGGUCGUAAAGCUCUUUCGCCAGAGAUGAUAAUGACAGUAUCUGGUAAAGAAACCCCGGCUAACUCCGUGCCAGCAGCCGCGGUAAUACGGAGGGGGUUAGCGUUGUUCGGAAUUACUGGGCGUAAAGCGUACGUAGGCGGAUUGGAAAGUAUAGGGUGAAAUCCCAGGGCUCAACCCUGGAACUGCCUUGUAAACUAUCAGUCUAGAGUUCGAGAGAGGUGAGUGGAAUUCCAAGUGUAGAGGUGAAAUUCGUAGAUAUUUGGAGGAACACCAGUGGCGAAGGCGGCUCACUGGCUCGAUACUGACGCUGAGGUACGAAAGUGUGGGGAGCAAACAGG